rnacentral:snoRNA from 2 species
AACCCAUGAUGUGGAACAUCGAUCAGAAGAUCUUUGAACCUCUCCCAAGCUGCGUGUAGAGAUUCUCCUUCAUCCUGUUUGAAUGUCAUGAUACGGUUCUUAAGCUU